rnacentral:lncRNA from 1 species
UGGAAGUUAGAAGCUCGAAAACGCCGACGGACAUUUUUAUCAUCCAGUACUUGAAUCUCAAAUGUGAAAUAUUUCUUCAGGUUCUUGACAAUCAUAACCAAAAAUGGGAGUUUUAUACCAAGAGUUGCUGCUGGGUCUAUGGGGCAUGUAAUGUAUGUAGAUUGUACAUUUGGCCCAACUAUUUCAAGUACAUUGGACUGUAUGUCUUCAUCGUGAGGUCGUUUCACAUGACCAUCGACAACUGCAGAAACUCAGAACAAAUUAUAUGUCUAAAGCAUUGGAUUAAAAUUAAAAACAAGUAGUAACCUCAGAGACGAAAAGUAAUUUAAAGAUAACAACAUAGGAAUGCACCUAAAAGGCUAAACAAUAUUUUCCUAUAAAAUCAGAACGUAAUGGCAAAAUGAUGUUUGCCUUUGGAAACUGAACUCUCUCUUGAAAGGAAGAAGAAAAUGUCCUAAGAAAUAUCCACCAAAAGAUUUGAACUCAAAAUUUUCAAUAUUCAAAACAGUAAUGCCUCAUUGAUAAUUGCAGGAAUAAAUUUAACCAUAGUUAUUUUAAUCAAAACAAAGCAAUCCCAGAAAAGGAAUAUUCAGGAAAAAGGAAUUAAGAUGGACUAGAAAGAAGAAUAAAUCCCAGAAAUUAAAUCACAAUACAAAAUCCCCGGCCUUCUUUCCUCUGCCCUCUGAAUAGAAUGAAACUUGACUUCAAUCACCAGAGUACUGCAACCUUUAAAGCUAUUGAUUAUGCACACUACUUAGUCACAGCGCCUGUUUACAUAUUUGCAAAGUAAAUGCUUCUUAUUAAUAUGAGCUACCAGAUCACAUGUAUGUAUCCUCCAAAUAUUAUCAAUUACAACAUGCAACACCUCAAUAACUCUACUUUUUAUUUCGGUGGAAGAUUAUGGAGGUUUACAUAACAACAAACUAAGUUUACCAUUCGUCACAGAUCAACCAGUAUGUUAGUAACCGUGAUCUUAAUUUUGAAAGCAUAACCGUAAAAGUGCUGGGUAAGCACCCACUUAAAUUCAACAGCUAGUGAGUUCAUUCAAAAAUGCGGCUAGGAAUUAGAGGCCAAAACAUACCCUAAAUAGGGAGGAAACUAACAAUUAAUCAGAACUCAUGAGAAAGCAAAGUUUACAACAAAUUACAAAUCCCAAAAACAAUUAAAUAUAUACGAUAAAAGAAGCAGCACUCAUCAAUAGAAACAAAAUCAGGAAAAAAAAAUUACUGACCUUCUUUAUCCCAUAUUUGCAGAGGUUUGCUCCUACAAAUUUCCAAAGAAUCCGACAUAAAAAAAGAUGAGGGUGGAUUACAAAAUUUUAAAAAAUAAUUAUAAUAUAAAAUAUAAAAAAAGCACCCAAAAGAGGGAAGAGAAAGAGAAGUUACCCAAGGCUGUAUAAGAUUGACAAGAAUCCUGAUUGAAAAGUGUUCUUGAACAUCUUUGGACAAUCUCUACAAUCACAAUCAAGAAAACAAAACAAAAAUAUAUAUUAUUUAUUGAAUCUCUAGCACAAGUUUUUUUUUUCCUUUUAUCUUUUUUUAACAUCGAAAUAAAAUUUGAACAGAAAUCCCUACCAACUUGAAGAAGACAACCGAUGAUGAUUCCUGUUCCUGUUCCUGUUUGGUCCUCGGGAAACAGCAACAGGGUUCUUCUUCCAAUUCCAAUUGAAUUGAGAAUUGAUUCUUCUUUUUACCUUAUUGUUUGUUAGAAUUGAAGCAUUUUGGGCAAAUAAAUUUAAGCGAGCCCGGCCCAAAUCGAUAAUCUAUCUCUUCAGUUUUCAGUUUUGCGUAAGGGGUAUUUUUGUAAUUACAUAUUUGCCAAUGCGAAGUAAUCAGUGCUGGGGCUGGGCCUUAUGCUUCGGGGCUCCUGCCUGCAAUUCAAUGUUAGGCCACUACUGGGCUUCUACCUGCCAUAGGGCUCAUUUAAAUCUUAUCUUAAAUAUGUGGAUUAGAGAUGUAUUUUUCUUUGAAAAUGAAUAAAUUUUUUUGAGCUGAUACCGGAUAGGUAUGCGGAUUAUAUUACAAAUAAAUAUAUUUAGAAUUUUAAUAAUGUUAUAGUUAGUUGAGAUACUUAGGGCCCGUUUGGGAUUGCUUUUAAGAGAUUUAAAAGUGAUUUUGAAAAUCUAAAAGCUAGUUUUAGUGUUUGGUGAAAAAAAAUCAAAAUCACUUUUGUCAAAAUCAGCACCUCCUACAGCUGAUUUUGAAAAGCAAUGAAGGAGUAGCUUUUAGAUUCUGAUUUUGAGAAUCAAUUUUAUCAUUUAAUACAAUUCCAUAAAUAUCCUUAAAAUUAUUACCUAAACCCAAAAUUAUCCUUAUUCAAAUUGGAAACAAAAUAAAUAUUUUAAUAAAUUUGUAUUAUAAUUCAUCCAUAUAAAUUUAUUACUAUCAAUUUGUUGGUCGAAUUAUUAUUAAAUUUGUUUCACUAUAUUAUUAAUUUAAUUAUCAAUUGUUUUAAGAUAAAAAAGUAAAAAGGUAAAAUCAAUAUAUUAUAAUUUUUAUUUUUAAUAAAAAUUAUUAUAAUACACAAUUAAAAAUAUUAUAAGUACAUAUUUUUAUAUAUAUAAAUAAAUUUUAUCUUAUAUUAUGUAUAUUUUAGUCAUUUAUUUUCUCGUAACAGUUUAACAGUAAAAUUUACCAAACGUCCAUAAUUACUUUCAAAACUCACAGUACUUCUUAAAACAAAAUUUACCAAACACUUAACUGAUUCUCUUCACAGCUGAUUAUUUCUACAGCACAGCUAACAGCAAUUAUUUUAAAAGUUACAGCAUUCCCAAACUGGCCCUUAGUUUGUAUUCUAACUAAAAUGACAAAUAACGUGUCAUUAUUUGAUUGAUUCCAGUGAUCGUUACUUAUUAAGUUGUAUUAUGUUUUAUCUAAAUAAUAAAAUUCUGUUAGUUAUAUAUAUUAGUUAGAAUAUAAAUUAACUAUUCAAACUGAAUAAGAAUAUCAUCACUUUGAAAAUUUUAGUAAUUCUCAUAUGGAAUAUAUCAAUAGAUAAUAAAGAAUUUUUUUUUUGUCUUUAAUAUAAAAGAUUUGAGGCAAAUGUUUAUCGAGUUGCUCUUUUUACAAAUGUGUCAAUUGCACAAAGCCAUCUUGCCACAUCCUGUAAAGCAACUUGCUUGAGAAAAUGGUGCAUUGUUGUGUCGUAGUUUGAAAUAAGAGAAAACUUAACGCACGUAUGACAAGCAUGUGUUCGGCCAAUCAAGUUUCUUGAAAUGAUAACAAUUUUUCAUUUCAAAUGGGGCCCACAACAUCAAAGUUGAUGUUACCACCGUUCGUUCCACAAGCUAUCUCCAUCGUUCGUUGGGUACAGCUUGAUUUGUUGGACGUACAUUAAUUGUUCUCCCGUGAAUAAUUCUCUUUGAAAUAUCAACACUUUAUCACAUCCUUUAUUCGAUUGGCGGGCGUGGUGAGUUUUUAUUGCUCGAAGUUGUAUUGUGGAAUUCACAAUUUUGUCGAUAAGAGGAGUGUCACGCAUACAGUUACGCACUAGAUCAAGCCUUUCUUUAUCAGUUAUUUUAGUCUUCAAACUAACGUAAUUACAUUUAUCACUACUGCAAUUGUAUAUUAAUAAAUACAAUGUAGAUUGAUUGGAAUAACAUGAAUUUAAACUCUUGACUUAAAGUGUGUUUACGAGUCGAAUUUGUGCUCAAUGAGUGAGGGGUUGUUGAGCGGACAGUUAAUAGGCAGGAGAUAUUUAUGUAAAUCGAGUUAUAUGAAUAUUAAGUGAGUUAACGGGUCAUGUUGUUUUGAUCGACACAAUUAUUGGAAUAUUAAAUGGAUCGUGUAUUUAAAUCUAUCUUCUAUGUUUGUUUCAUGUUUCAAAAUUUAACACGAUAAUUAAAUAUAUGUAUUUAGAUUAACUUAAAUUUAAAAUGGCAUGAAACUAGCGAAAUAAAAAAACACUAUCCACUUACCCGUAUUAAGGGGCAGAGCUUAGAAUCUAGUUUACAAGGAAUAACAUAAGAAUAAUGUGUUAAAAAAAAAAAACUCAUAGGGGUAUUUCAAUCAAGUUAACGGGGAGAUAGCUUAUUCAGUGAUGUAAUUUAAGGCUUUUUAAUUUGCCCUUCUUGCCCUAGACUAAUUAUGUCCUUGUUCAUUUUGCUACCUCUAGGGUCGAGGUUAACGAGGUAUAUUAUUAAAAUAUCACUAAUGAAUGGUAAAAUAUAUUUUCAUUGCAGGGAAUAUUCUCCUCCUAGAUCUUUAAUUUUGAAUUCUUAAAAAUUAGGGGGGAAAAAAAUAAAAACAAUAGCAAACAGUCCUUUACAGAUAUUUUUCCUCCGCUUAUAUAUUUUUAGCAAAAUAGCAUAAUAGCACAUGGUUUGCUCAGUGGUUCACAUUUCCUUGUAACCUAAACUUUUGACUUCACUUCUAUUUUAUUUUUAAAAUGAAUGGUUGUGAUUUUUUUAAUUUAUAGAAUUCUAUUUUAUAUCUACUCACAAAGGGUAUCUAAAUUUUUAACAUUUUAAAAAUGCUCUUCAAUCAUUUUCUCUUUUUACUUUAUAAUUUGGAUUUUCUCUUAGUUUCAUUCAUUUUUUCAUUGAUGUUUUCUUAAUAAAUUAAACUCUAAUUUUUUUUUAUUACCAUUCAUCUUGAUUUUUUGUUUUAAGAAUAAAUAUGAAAUCUAAAAGCACUUUUAUAAGUUUAAUGACCGAUAAAAAUUGAUUAAUAUCUUUUCUUUUAUUAUAAUUUUUUUAUCUCUCAAUUUAUUAUAAUCUUGUGAAACUAAUUUUGAGAAGUUGAGAAUAAAAAUAAAUAUUUAUUUAAAAUUGAAAGGAAAAAUUUGAAUUACCUACUGUGUAAUUGAGAAAUUGAAAAAAGAAAGAGAAAUAGAGUCAAUUCAAUAAUUUUAUUAAAAAUUAUUUUGAAAAUAAAACUUAAUUUAAAUAAAAGGUUUAGAAAGAAACCGGUGACUCAAGUAACUUUACCCUUAAAUAGAUCCAAACUCCUGCUUCUUUUCCGUAUUUCCACUGUUGCUCUUUGUUCUAGUAAUUUUAUUCCCUACGUGUUACGGAUCAGAUCUCCACGUGGCAUUCGUUCCCAUGGUUCUUAUGCCACGUGUUGCUCCCACAAAAUCUAUGUUUGCUCAUUUAUACGUGAACCUUUCGGAUUCCUAAACGUGAUUUGUGGAUAAACAAGGGAUAUUAUUGUAAAUCAAAAUUUCCUCUGUCGCCAAAUAGGUACCAUGAUCUUGUAUUCUUGUUUACACACCUGUGGGACCAGAUACAACCACGUGGACCAAUGACAGAGCCGUUUUCGAUGGAGAACUCACAGCCACUAAACUGAUUAACAAUUUUCAGCCACAAGCAACAGCUUUGACUGCAUUUCAUCCUAUAAAAGGUUGAUUUUAUUGAAUAUUAAAAUGAAUUUCACUAACCGUAGAUUCCUUGCUUCAUCUGCUUAACUAGUCAAGAAAACAAGUACCAAACGAAAGAGUUUUAUUUUAUUUAAUCAGUUUUCUUUAUCUGAGUUGCUUUAUUUUAGGAUUCAGCAUCUGGGUUUUGUUCAUUUUCCUUUAUUUUCUUAAAUUAAAAAAGAAAAUGAAGAAAAUGACAUGGUCAUUCACUCAAUUCUUACCUGCAUUGGAAGGUACAGCUUAAAUUCCGGUGGGAGUUCUUCUUCCGAGUACAGGCGAUCCGAGAAAUAUAUCCUUCUGAGGCGACAAUUUGCAUGAACCUGAACUCGUAAAGUUUCAACGUAAUUGGUUCCAUAUGCUCUCCUGGUAAAAUCAGCCAGGUUCAACUGGAUCUAACUCGCAUCAGAGAAUCUUCAACUGCUAAAGAAAACAGUUCUGGACAGUCUCACGCUCUACUCUAUCCUUCAUUAUUUCCGAAUGAAGAACACAAAAGAAGGCUAGAGAAAUCCAUAUCAUUACUGUCUUGAGCAAAUAAAAAGCCAAUAUUAAUGAAGCUCAAUACCAUAGUUUCUUGCCCCACGUCACCAAACUGUCUAAUGACAGAGCUCACUACCAAAUGCCUACACUAACUUUAACAUCAAAACUGGGACUAUCCCCUUUUUCUACCAAAUGCCAAAACCACUACUAGUUCAACUUCAAAACGGCAUCACAAGAAAUGAAUAUUAAAACAAAAAAAAUCAAUAGUCAUUUCAUAACACUUUAGAAGAUAUCAUAGAUUUUCCACCAAGCAAAUCAAAUGGAAGAGGAAUUGAGAAUCAUAAAAUGAAUAGAAAACCAAACUUAGCUAAAAAAGCCACAAUAAUACAUGAAUAAUCUCUCACAUAUUUUUCAUAAUUCUAAAUUUAGCCAAUAAACUUCAGCAAUAUUGAUUAGUUUCACUAUUUUAAGAAGAAUUUCUUCAUACACCUAUUACGUAACAAAUUAACAGAAAAGAAAUAGUAAUUUCAAAACAACCAACAUCAAUGAAACAAGGGCAAACUUACACACUUGGAAGUUAGAAGCUCGAAAACGCUGACGGACAUUUUUAUCAUCCAGUACUUGAAUCUCAAAUGUGAAAUAUUUCUUCAGGUUCUUGACAAUCAUAACCAAAAAUGGGAGUUUUAUACCAAGAGUUGCUGCUGGGUCUAUGGGGCAUGUGACGUAUGUAGAUUGUAUAUUUGGCCCAACUAUUUCAAGUACAUUGGACUGUAUGUCUUCAUCGUGAGGUCGUUUCACAUGACCAUCGACAACUGCAGAAACUCAGAACAAAUUAUAUGUCUAAAGCAUUGGAUUAAAAUUAAAAACAAGUAGUAACCUCAGAGACGAAAAGUAAUUUAAAGAUAACAACAUAGGAAUGCACCUAAAAGGCUAAACAAUAUUUUCCUAUAAAAUCAGAACGUAAUGGCAAAAUGAUGUUUGCCUUUGGAAACUGAACUCUCUCUUGAAAGGAAGAAGAAAAUGUCCUAAGAAAUAUCCACCAAAAGAUUUGAACUCAAAAUUUUCAAUAUUCAAAACAGUAAUGCCUCAUUGAUAAUUGC